GUGAGGAGGCCCGGGUGUGAAAGGGGAGCAGAAGGGACAUGAGGUCAAAGGCUCAUCUGUAAUGCAGAGGCUGCAGAGAGGGGCAUGAGGAUGUGAAAGUGGGAAGCUUCGAGCAUGUCAGGGUGUAAGGGACGGAGGUGUGGUCCUUCGCAUUCAGGUCUGAGUAAGUGGCGGCAUCAGGCAGAGAGAAGAGUUCCAGCAGACGACCAUGAGCCAGCCAUCCUUCUCUCAGCACACAGUCCCGACUGGACACUGCCGGGUGGGCCUCUGGCUGCAGAAGUCAGCCUAGGCACCAGGCUGUGGCCCCUGCAUCAGGCCUUCCCAGUGACUGAUGUGACCAGGGCCCACUCUGGCAGACUGAGGACAGCUCUGGGGUCAUCAUGGAGGGUUCAUUCUACAGUGUCCGCCCCAGCACCCUUCCUUCUGUUCCUGUCCCUGGUUCCAUCCCAGGCCAUUUCUCCACACAGGAGAUCAUUAAGCACUGGUUUUCUCGGUCACCCUAGGGCUGGGGUUAUAAGACCACGCUGCACCAGCUACAGCACCAGCUAUCCCGCUGGAAGGUAGUCUAGUCCUUGAAUCUUGGAGCCUGUGGAGGUAUAGGCUAGGGAGAGAAAGGUCUUCCAUGGGGGCCUGUGAGCUCCAAGGGCUGCUGUUUGAUGGCUCCUUGCUCUGGUCCCC
rnacentral:lncRNA from 1 species